rnacentral:sRNA from 1 species
CCUGCGGUACAAGCACAAUCUGCUCUGGUCUUCCCGACGGUCGGUAUCCAGACAUCGGCUGCAAGUCCUACUACGUCUGCGUUGCAGGUGUAAACAACGGACGCAUUUACUGCCCGGCAACUCUGGUCUUCGAUUCAAACUUAGACAACUGCAACUGGGCUAACAACGUCCCACCACCCUGUGGAACAAAGAAAGAUUAAUUAAAGAAAACAGAAAUCCUUCAUCUUUUGAUUGUUAUGUCAAAUUAUUAGCAUUUACAUCGCGCGGUGAAAAUCCAAAACAAAUUAUAUUUUGUUUAUACUAAGGUUUUUAUUAUUAAAUUAUUUUAAUUCUUACACAUUUU